UUUAAUUCAAACAGAUACAUUUCUCUGCGACGGGUAGCCUAUUUGAUAUUGUUUUCUUGCUAACUACAUUGUCUUGUCUCUCAUCAUGACAACUAUUAUAACAAAGAUUAUGUUUUAAAUAUUUAAAAUAUAGUUAUAAUACAUUUAUAAAAAUACAGUUUUAAACAUAAUAUCAAAAUUAUAAAAAAAACUAUUACAAAUCCAACUGGCAAAACAAAAUAUUUUUGUGAAACUGUGCCGUGCAGAAAUAAUUUCAAACAAAAUAUGUUAAGACGCAAAUUAACUGCACAUAUUGCAUCUAAUAGCCUACUAUUUUUAUAUCAGUACAACAAAUGUUAAUUUAAAAAAACAUCCUGCAUUAUUGGUUUAACCAAAAAUGAAACAAACAAAAAUAAAAAAUGGUGUCGACAUAACUUCAUGCAUGAUUUAGAGAACCGACUUGUUAAAGUCUCUCUGAGCCGAAAGGGAUCGCUGUAGGCGCUGCUACAGAAUUGUAGUGCACGAGGUCACGUGUUACUGCACCCUGAAAGCCUCUCAGAGUGAAGAAUGAUGACGCUUAAACUCAGUGGACCAAUGCUGAGUUCAAAGCACAACAAACGGUAGACAUAAGAAGAAAUUACUACGAUGUCGACUGUGAUAAUAAAGACACUUUUUUACAUAUGCGCUUUACAUCUGCACCACCACCUGCCUGUGUUUUACCCGGGGUAACAUUUGUAUGACGUCAGUAUUCAUCAAUAGAGCAUUAUCGGCAGAUUUGAGUUCAUCUUCACCAAUGGGAUUCGAUAUGCAGCCUGUUUAGCGAUGGUGGAGGGGUGACUGAAAGACAGUAUGGACAGAAAAAUGCAGCAGGGAGUAGUCACACACACACGCUUGCAAAAGGUCCUGAUGGAGAGGGAGGAAGGGAAAAAGAACCAGAGAAAGGACGAAGAAAAGCCCAUAAUGCUGUAAUGCCCAUUAGCGAGAUUUCACGCAUUCUCUCUGAUCUGACUCACUGACAGCAGCCUCUAAGAGACUAUAAUGAGAAUGUUUGGCAGGGUUCUGUGUGUGUGUCUUAUGUCAGUGUCUAGAGCCAAUCUCACAUAGACAUGGACCACUAAUGGGCAUAUCUAUAUUGGGAGAUUUUGUAUUGGACUACCAGAGUAUGUAUAGAUGUGUGUGUGCUGUUUGUUUGAGCACUCUUGAGAAUAGAGAGUGAGGGAAUCAGUGAAUAAAUAGCACACACAGCAAGCUUCCCUCCUGUGUCUCAUUGCUCAGAUCUGAUUGCAACAUAAACAUGGCGUCUCAAUCCAGACUGCCCUUUCUAAACGAUUUUUCACACAGCCAAACAAAGGGCCAGUGAAAGCGUAAUGACCUACACAUCAAAACACUCGCAUGCGCAAACACCCGUCUCAAAACAGACCUCUAAGCUUGGGUGUUGUUAAGAUGCACACUAAAGCACAAGUCAAUAUCAGUUCAACAGUGCUUUGUAUAAUUAUAAGUGCGAUUAGAAAAGAUUUGAUUGGAUAAUGGACGCUGAUGAGAGGAAAAUCAUUUUUGGAUGCAUGUGUCUAAUUGAUGACUGAAGUGAUGCAUCUGUGUCUGUGUUGUUUGUAAGCGGGUGCAGUGAACUCACCCUAAUCUCACCUGUCAGCUAGCCGAUUUUUUCGCUGAUCACCCGUUGAUACCCGGACUUCUUCAGCGCACAUCCUUUAUCGCUACGGAGACAUCUGGCAACUCGAUGGUUUUUAGACGGAGCACUGGCUGCUCUACAUUAGAAGCUAAUAAUACACCCAGUCUUCUGAAGUUGUGCCACAGGAAGACAGUAAACCCUUUCAUUCUUUUCACCCCCUUUAUUUUAAACAGUCGACGAAUCCGUCAUAUCUGGAGAACAGGUGGCACUUCCUCUGUGUCCCACAGUGCUGAAACUCAACUUAACAUUUCUUAACAUCACAGAGAUGCUGCUAAUGCUCCGUGUGCCCUGUGCUGUAUUUUUAGUAAGGAGAGCUGUGCUUUUCUUGGAAAACCGACAUACUGACAUAUCCAUCCACUAGAACAAAAAGAGACAGGAUGAAGAGAUUAACCAUUUGAACAGUGAUUAUAAUAAUACUGAGAGUUUUUUAAUAGUGAUAAAUCAAAGCUGAGUGAGUUAUUACAUCUUUCAUUUCUGAUUAUUUCCUCUUUGCUUUCUGUUCUAAUAAGUGUUUUCUCUUCUUUUGUAGUAAAUAUUUUCAAUUUAUCAAUUAGUGCAUUCAUGUUUUAGUGAAAGGCUGGAACUUCUUAAUUUUUCGAACAAGUAUUCAGGAGGGAAUAAAUGUAAGCUUCAAUGACCUUUAGCCGUUUUAGUAAUAUGUUGAGGGAAGGUGUGUAAGCAUGGUGUCCCUCUCUCUUGUGAUUGCAGUAAAAAUACCAAUUAACCCAAACCAAUUAGAAGUAGCUCUUUAGUACAGAAUGUUACCCCCUCCAGCACUUCCAAUCUGUCCAAUCUUCUUUCUGUUUGCAUGCGGAUCUGCGCUUGGUUGCAUGCAGUGAUUUGGUCUAUGUGUCUGUUUACAGUGUGUAAGAUUGUACGCUUAAUUACCAGUCCAGGAUAAAGCCACAGGAGCCGUCUGAAAUGCAGCCUAUGCGCACACACAUACGCCUGCCCUCUUCAGCCAUUAGUUUCAUGUAUGUUUGGUUUUCUUCCCCCCCGGUGGUUAAUGCAUGGAUGCCGUCGAGCGGCACUGUCUCAUGUUUAAAGGUGUGAUCAGGCCUGAUCUCAGAUCAGAGGUUUGUGGGAGGAAAUGUCCUGCUGCUGUAGGGACCGGGUUGUAUUGUCCUUGGAUGUGCUUUAUCUUCCCUCCGGCCCAAACCAUCACUUCUCUAUACCGACUCAUCUGAAGUACAGCGCUGCCACUCUCUAAAUGAUGUUACUUGAAAAAAAAUAUUGCUGUCAAUAAAUUCUGAGUUACUUGGUUGAUGAUUUAAAAUAUCUGUAACAUUUAUAUAUUUACAUUUAGGCAACUGUACAAUUUGGGCACCAUUUCUUUUCAGUUUUUACCAUAUUUUUUAAAAGUAAAUAUUGACAUCACAUAGAAUAUAUUUUCGUCUGUCACAUUACAAGCAGGAUCAAUGCUACCCUGAUAAUAAACAGUAAUAUCUUGUUGUUUUGAUAGGUCUGUCUCUUAUUUCAUGUUUGCUAUCUUUUAGUAGCUUCUGUGCUCUGAUAAAAGCCAAUACACCUGCUGUUUAACUGUUUAAUAAUUCGAUAUGCUGUUAUCAUGUUUCUUUUCUGACAGGAAUCAAAUGUAACUAUUGAAAACUAUUUUUUAAUAAUUUUUUUGUAAUUGAUGGGUGAACACACAUUUCACCUGUUAUGUAAAUUAAUGAUGAAUUUACAUUCAUUGUUUACAUUUACAAUUACCAUUUACAUUUAGAAUUUGAAUUCAGACAAGGCAUUUGAUAUCAAUUUGAAUAGUCGGGUCAUCUGUUGAGAACAGACAAUGAGACCAGAGAAAAGGAACUGAGAGAAGAAAAGCACCAUUGUGUUUCCAUUCAACAUGUAAAGAGUGGAUUUUUUUGUAAUAAAAAGCCUCAACAUGAAAAAAGUCUAUUCAAAACUAUAUGGUUAUUACUGGGGGUGAAACGGUACACAGAAGACACGGUUCGGUUCGUACCUUGGUUCAGGCAUCACGGUUCGGUACAA